rnacentral:rRNA from 1 species
UACGUAGGGUGCGAGCGUUAAUCGGAAUUACUGGGCGUAAAGCGUGCGCAGGCGGUUUUGUAAGUCAGAUGUGAAAUCCCCGGGCUUAACCUGGGAACUGCGUUUGAAACUACAAGGCUAGAGUGUGGCAGAGGGGGGUGGAAUUCCACGUGUAGCAGUGAAAUGCGUAGAGAUGUGGAGGAAUACCGAUGGCGAAGGCAGCCCCCUGGGCCAAUACUGACGCUCAUGCACGAAAGCGUGGGGAGCAAACAGG